rnacentral:rRNA from 1 species
UACAGAGGUCUCAAGCGUUGUUCGGAUUCAUUGGGCGUAAAGGGUGCGUAGGCGGCGGGGCAAGUCGGAUGUGAAAUCUCAGGGCUCAACCCUGAAACUGCAUUCGAUACUGCUCUGCUCGAGGACUGGAGAGGAGAUUGGAAUUCACGGUGUAGCAGUGAAAUGCGUAGAUAUCUGGAGGAACACCGGUGGCGAAGGCGGCGUCCUGGACCAACACUGACACUGAUGAGCGAAAGCCAGGGGAGCAAACGGG